rnacentral:rRNA from 1 species
CACUCUAGCGAGACUGCCGGUAAUAAACCGGAGGAAGGUGGGGAUGACGUCAAAUCAUCAUGCCCCUUAUGACCUGGGCUACACACGUGCUACAAUGGUUGGUACAACGAGUUGCGAGUCGGUGACGGCGAGCUAAUCUCUUAAAGCCAAUCUCAGUUCGGAUUGUAGGCUGCAACUCGCCUACAUGAAGUCGGAAUCGCUAGUAAUCGCGGAUCAGCACGCCGCGGUGAAUACGUUCCCGGGCCUU